AUCCCCACUACACCCAUGCUGGUUCUGUUUAUUUUAAUCACUAAAAAGAAAAGAAAAGGUUGCUCAAAUGUGCUUGAAUUAGUGUUCCUGAACUUUAUGAUAUCACAUUAUUACUUUCAAAAAGACAGGUAGGCUAGAGGCCUUGACAUUCACAUACUUUAUCCUAAAAAGUAAAACCAUAUCAACUUUUUUAACCAGAGAAGUCAAAACCAAAUAUUACAGUAACUUCAGAUGGAACGUGUUAAUUUUUAUCUUCUGGACUUGCACUAACUACUUUGUUAAAAGAUAUGUAUUUGUUAAACUUGUGAUAAGACCAUAUGGUUUAUUUUUUACAAUUCAAGAUUGUAUUGGUGCAUCCAUCAUAUGGCCCUAUCCAUUCAUCUCGGUAGUCCAUGAGGAUUGAGGACGCAUGAUGACUCAAGAUUUUAUGCUUUUUAUUUCUUUAAUUGCUUUUAAUUUCUUUGUUAAAUGUUAAGACUUUAUGUUAGAUAAUGUUAUAACCUAUUUAUAGUUAGUGGUUUUGUUAUGAACAUGCUUAUUUGAAAUAUAAUGAAGUUUUAUUUA